rnacentral:rRNA from 1 species
AUUGAACGCUGGCGGCAGGCUUAACACAUGCAAGUCGAGCGAGCGGCGGACGGGUGAGUAAUGUCUGGGAAACUGCCUGAUGGAGGGGGAUAACUACUGGAAACGGUAGCUAAUACCGCAUACCAUCAGAUGUGCCCAGAUGGGAUUCGCGUGUAGGUGGGGUAAUGGCUCACCUAGGCGACGAUCCCUAGCUGGUCUGAGAGGAUGACCAGCAAAAUGGGAACUGAGACACGGUCCAGACGCCUACGGGAGGCAGCAGUGGGGAAUAUGGCACAAGGGGCGCAAGCCUGAUGCAGCCAUGCCGCGUGUGUGAAGAAGGCCUUCGGGUUGUAAAGCACUUUCAGCGAGGAGGCGGUACUCGAAGAAGAAGCACCGGCUAACUCCGUGCCAGCAGCCGCGGUAAUAC